GCCACUGGCUCUCUCGGUUCUUCACGCUUCUCUUUCUCUGCAUCUUCAAAUGAGCGAGGCAGUCUGGGGCAGAGAGUGGGAAAUGCAUGAGGGAGGCCAGACAUUCCGUAAUGAGCACGCUGCUCUGGGGGUUCAAGAUGCCUGGUGAUUCUCCUCGGCACCAAGUUGAAAGCCAACAGAUUCUGGGUGAGACCAACACAAGUGAAGAUCUGACUUCCUAGAAAGUGAGAAGAACAGGGGUCUGAAGAUGUGACUCUGGAAACAGGUCAGGAAGAGGAAGAGGAGUCUUCCUCCAAAGAGGUGGAGAAGAAACAGCUGGAAAAAGAAAACAGGAAGAAGCUGCGUCAUGAGAAAAUGAGACCUGGAGGAAGACAGCGCUUCAGAAAAAGGAAAUCCUCAACCAUCAAGGACGGAAAAGGCAGCUUUGUGGUUAGGAGACCACGUGCCCACUUUGUUCCGUGUGGCUCGAACACAGGGUAGAGUAGGGGGAAUUCGUUAGGAGGCUGGUUGGCUUUCACCAGAUGCUGCGAAGCCUUCAGCACAUGCUCCAGAGGUGGGCUUUAUUCUGUAGGUAACGGGGAAUGCAAUGAGUAUGUUUUUAAUAAGUCAUUUUUUAAAACUGAGGUAAAGCUUACAUGCACUGAAAUGCCUAGAUUUCAAGGAUUCAUUUCAAGGACUUUUGACAAGUGUGAAACCUGUGUGACUAACUCCCUAAUCAAGAAAGAUAUUUCCAUUACCUCAGAAAGUUCCCUUGUGUCCUGUUCUGUUUUAAUCUCCACUUCUAUAGGCAAGUACCAUUCUCAUUUCUACCCAAAAGAUUACUUGUGUCUAUUCUUGAAAUUCACAUACAUGGAAUCAUGCAGUAUGUAAACUUUGUUCUCUGGCUUCUUUUGUUCAACAUAAUGUUUUUGAGAUUUAUUUAUAUUGUUGCACGGAUUAGUAAUUCACUAUUGCUGAAUAGCAAGCAUUAUUAUAUGACGAGAUCACAAUUUAUCUAUUCCUCCAUUGAUGGACAUUUAGGUUGUAAUAAACUUUUGGUUAUAACGAC